AAUUGCGUAUGUGAGUAUUACAGGUGUGACCUUGGCAAAGCACACUGUAGGAAUAAUGUAACCAACCAGUUGCACGAUGGUCCAUGUGCACUAGGGCCAACUUCCACUACACGAAGCCCAGAAGAAGUUCUCCACGGAAGCGAAAUAGUCUUAGAUUUCCAGUGUGUUUUGCUCAGCCAUAGAGAUUGUCAACCGGCAUAUAAUGAAAAGCUUUGUGGUACUGACGGCAGAACAUACCGCAAUUUUUGCGAAUACGAAAAGGCGAGAUGUACACACAGAGAUCUUCAUGUUGCCAAAUUUGGAGACUGCAAUGCUUAAUUUUAAAAUGCAUAUUGUAUUGUUUUAGGCAUUCAAUAUAGAUCAAAGAAAUGAUAA